GACGAACGCUGGCGGCGUGCUUAACACAUGCAAGUCGAACGCUGAAGCUCAGCUUUUGUUGGGUGGAUGAGUGGCGAACGGGUGAGUAACACGUGAGUAACCUGCCCCCUUCUUGGGAUAACGCCCGGAAACGGGUGCUAAUACUGGAUAUUCACUGGUCUUCGCAUGGGGGUUGGUGGAAAGGGUUUUUCUGGUGGGGGAUGGGCUCGCGGCCUAUCAGCUUGUUGGUGGGGUGAUGGCCUACCAAGGCUUUGACGGGUAGCCGGCCUGAGAGGGUGACCGGUCACAUUGGGGAUGAGAAUCGGCCCAGACUCCUACGGGAGGCAGCAGUGGGGAAUAUUGCACAAUGGGCGCAAGCCUGAUGCAGCGACGCCGCGUGAGGGAUGGAGGCCUUCGGGUUGUGAACCUCUUUCGCUCAUGGUCAAGCCGCAACAAUGGUUGUGGUGAGGGUAGUGGGUAAAGAAGCGCCGGCUAACUACGUG
rnacentral:rRNA from 1 species